UUUAACUGAGCGUUCAGUUACUUGACGUAGACCCGAAACCGGGCGACCUACCCAUGAGCAGGAUGAAGCGAAAGUAAAAUUUCGUGGAGGUCCGAACCCACGAGCGUUGAAAAGCUCGGGGAUGACUUGUGGGUAGCGGUGAAAUUCCAAUCGAGCCCGGAGAUAGCUGGUUCUCCCCGAAAUAGCUUUAGGGCUAGCCUCAAGGUGAGAGAUACGGAGGUAGAGCACUGAAUGUCCUAGGGGGUAUUGCACCUACCGAAGACUAUCAAACUCCGAAUGCCGUCAUCUUAUACUUGGGAGUCAGACUGUGGGUGAUAAGAUUCAUAGUCGAAAGGGCAACAGCCCAGAUCGUCAGCUAAGGUCCCUAAAUGUAAGUUAAGUGGUAAAGGAUGUGGGAUUGCACAGACAACCAGGAUGUUGGCUUAGAAGCAGCCACUCAUUCAAAGAGUGCGUAAUAGCUCACUGGUCGAGUGAUCCUGCGCCGAAGAUUUCCGGGGCUAAAACUUACUACCGAAGCUACGGCAUCAGUAAUGAUGGGUAGGGGAGCUUCCCAUACGGGUUGAAGCAUGACCGUAAGGACAUGUGGACAGUAUGGGAGUGAGAAUGUUGGCAUGAGUAGCGAGAUGUGGGUGAGAAUCCCACAGGCCGUAAACCCAAGGUUUCCAGGGGAAGGUUCGUCCGCCCUGGGUUAGUCGGGACCUAAGCUGAGGCCGAAAGGCGUAGGUGAUGGACAACAGGUUGAUAUUCCUGUACUACCGAUAACCGUUUGAGAGAAGGGAUGACACAGUAGGAUAAGCUAAGCACACUGUUGGUUAUGUGUGCCCAAGCAUUGAGGCAGUCAAAGUAGGCAAAUCCGCUUUGAUAAUGCU
rnacentral:rRNA from 1 species